AACUUUUAACAAUGGAUCUCUAGGCUCUCACAUCGAUGAAGAACACAGUGAAAUGUGAUAAGUAAUGUGAAUUGCAGAAUUCAGUGAAUCAUCGAAUCUUUGAACGCAUCUUGCGCCUUUUUGGGUAAUUCCAAAAGGCACACCUGUUUGAGUGUCA
rnacentral:rRNA from 1 species